UAUAAGUUGUAAUAAAAAUAUUAAAUUAAGUUAAUAAAUUUAAUUAUGGUUUAAUAAUUAAUUUAAAAAUUUUUAUAUAUAUAAAUAUUAUAAAUUUAUUUAAUAUAGAGUUAUUGUAGUAUAUAGAUUUAAUAAUAUUAAAAAAAAUUAAUUUUUAGGAAUUUUUAUAAUUUAGAUUAAUAAUUGUGCCAGCAAUCGUGGUUAAACAAUUUAAGUAAAUUAAUUAAAUUAAGUUAAAAUUAAAUGGAGUUUUAUAAUAAUUAUUAGAAUUAUUAGGUGAAAUUAAUUAAUUUUAUUUUUUUUAUAUUAAGAAAAAAUUGAGUUUUUGAAAAAUUUUUAAAAAACUAGGAUUAGAUACCCUAUUAUAUAAUUUUAAAUAUGAAAUUUUAAUAUUAAAUGAUUAAUCAUUAAAUUUAAAUAAUUUGGCGGUAUUUUAAUUUUAUUAGAGGAAUUUGAUAAUUAAUUGAUAAAACUCGAUAAGAGUAACUUUAAUUUAAUUUUUAUAUUGUUGUUUAAAGAGUAUUUUUGAAAAAAAUAUUUAAAAUAUUUUUUUAAAAAAAAAAUUAAUUCAGAUCAAAAUGAAGUGUAUAUUAAAGUAUUAUUGAAUUACAAUAAAUUAAAUUUAAAUGGAUUUAUAAUUUAAAUAUUAUAAUAAAGGUGGAUUUAAAAGUAAAGUAAAAUAAUUAUUUUAAUUGAUUAAAAUUUUAAAAUAUGUACAAAUUGCCCGUCGUUCUCUUUGAAAAAGGAGGUAAGUCGUAACAAAGUAAAAGUACUGGAAAGUGUUUUUAGAUU
rnacentral:ncRNA from 1 species